AUUGAACGCUGGCGGCAUGCCUUACACAUGCAAGUCGAACGGCAGCGCGGACUUCGGUCUGGCGGCGAGUGGCGAACGGGUGAGUAAUACAUCGGAACGUACCCUGUUGUGGGGGAUAACUAGUCGAAAGAUUAGCUAAUACCGCAUACGAACUGAGGGUGAAAGUGGGGGACCGCAAGGCCUCACGCAGCAGGAGCGGCCGAUGUCUGAUUAGCUAGUGGGUGGGGUAAAGGCCCCCCAAGGCGACAAUCAGUAGCUGGUCUGAGAGGACGAUCAGCCACACUGGGACUGAGACACGGCCCAGACUCCUACGGGAGGCAGCAGUGGGGAAUUUUGGACAAUGGGGGCAACCCUGAUCCAGCAAUGCCGCGUGUGUGAAGAAGGCCUUCGGGUUGUAAAGCACUUUUGUCCGGAAAGAAAUCGCGCUGGUUAAUACCUGGCGUGGAUGACGGUACCGGAAGAAUAAGCACCGGCUAACUACGUGCCAGCAGCCGCCGUAA
rnacentral:rRNA from 1 species